CCUUUUGGCUAAGAUCAAGUGUAGUAUCUGUUCUUAUCAGUUUAAUAUCUGAUACGUCCUCUAUCCCAGGACAAUAUAUUAAAUGGAUUUUUGGAAGUAGGAGUUGGAAUAGGAGCUUGCUCCGUCCACUCCACGCAUCGACCUGGUAUUGCAGAGAUGGGAAGA